ACGCUCGACACCUACGGGAGGCAGCAGUGGGGAAUAUUGCACAAUGGGGGAAACCCUGAUGCAGCGACGCCGCGUGAGCGAAGAAGUAUUUCGGUAUGUAAAGCUCUAUCAGCAGGGAANAAACUGACGGUACCUGACUAAGAAGCACCGGCUAAAUACGUGCCACAGCCGCGGUAAUCUGAGCGGCUGGCAAGGC
rnacentral:rRNA from 1 species